CUACGGGGGGCAGCAGUGGGGAAUAUUGGGCAAUGGGCGCAAGCCUGACCCAGCAACGCCGCGUGAGGGAAGAAGGUUUUCGGAUUGUAAACCUCUGUCCUUGGGGACGAAGAAGUGACGGUACCCAAGGAGGAAGCUCCGGCGUAACUACGUGCCAGCAGCCGCGGUAAUACGUAGGGAGCAAGCGUUGUCCGGAAUUACUGGGCGUAAAGGGUGCGUAGGCGGCAUAUUAAGUCAGGUGUGAAAUACUCGGGCUCAACCCGAGGGGUGCAUUUGAAACUGAUAAGCUUGAGUGUGAGAGAGGAAAGUGGAAUUCCUAGUGUAGCGGUGGAAUGCGUAGAUAUUAGGAGGAACACCAGUGGCGAAGGCGACUUUCUGGCUCAUAACUGACGCUGAGGCACGAAAGCGUGGGGAGCAAACAGGAUUAGAUACCCUCGUAGUC
rnacentral:rRNA from 1 species